GUGACGAUAAACCGCUAGAAAAGCACGGUAGAUACAAGUGGAAAUCCUUAGCGUGCUUUUAAAUCCCAGGCAGUCACAUCCUUAAUGUGGGUAGUGGUUUUGGACCAGAUGCAAAAGUCACAUGGGGGGGUUUGUUCCCUUUGUUUCUAAAGGAUAGGACAUGUGUGCCACUACCUAUUAUUGUAAAAGUUAAAGUGGGAAGAGAGUGCCAACAGAAUGCAUAUUUUUCUUUGCAUAUUUUGUGCAACUUCAUGGUAUGUAACUUGUUUUUUUUUUUUUUUUUUUGAUCAGAGUUGUAAUAAUUUUCACAUGUAAGUGUUCCCAGAAUGCAGUACCAGGCACAUAUUGGUGUUAUAACAAUUUAAAUAACGAUUUAGUCUCUCAAUAGAUUCAGAUAGUCCUUCAGAAUACACUUAUUUUGUACUGUAAAUCCUGUUCAAUCAUUGUUAAACUCUUUUAACUUCGUAUCAUAAUUUGUAAUUUCGUUGAGAAGAUUUUCUGGCCUAAUUUUAGGGGUUUUUUUUAGAGGAAAGCCAAGAGACAUAACCAAACAGAACAGUUUUAGUUUUUUUUGCCUGAAUGUGGUUGUUUUGAAUUCCAGGCUAACAAUUUUUGCAAAUAGUUAUUUUCCCAUUUUGAAAGGGGACACCUCGGUGUCUUACAAUUUUCCUAGCCCCUUCUUUGUGCGUGUUUAUAAACCUGAAAUAAAAUGUUAUUUUCUGCUCUGGCAUCUCCUUUAACCUGGAAAGAGAAUAUUUGUACUUUGGGGGACUUGGACCCCCUAGCUGUUUCUGCUGUUUCAGCUAUGAAAAGACAGCAAAUUAAAAAAUGUACUCUUCUGAAUUUUUCUCAUAGAAAUGAACUAAUAAUACAUGCUGCUGUAUGGAGGAAUAAGUGUAGAAAUGAAAAAGUUAGGUAUGUGGACUAUUUUUUUAACAUUUAGAAUAGCCUAGUGAUCAGAAAUUAGAUCAUUAACAUAACAUGACUCCUUUAUCUUUUCUAAUUAAGAUCAUAGGCAUAUGUUUGUUUUCUUAGCUGUAUAUACUUGUGGUCUUAUCAGCACAUAUCAGGCAUACAGAUUUCUGCUCCUGUUAGACUUGGUAUACUCAUUAUUUCUACUGAUUAUUUAGAAAAUAAUCAGUACUGCACCUUAGGGUCAUACUCAGAUGGAAUUUAAAUUUACUUAGGAAGGAGUAACUGUUGAAUUAAUUUGGAGUAAAGUGGUGUGUUUAUUUUUAAAUGAAGGCAUAUAAAAAUUAUUUGGGCACAUUGUUAUUCUUAUCUGUUGUAGAGACUGAUGCACAUGGCUCCAGAGAAUAUUGAGAUGUCUAAAGCAGACCCUUGACUGGAACCGUCCAGAGAGUUCUGAAUGAUGUUGCCAUCUCCACUAGCCCAAUGGAAAAAACCAUACUCUGGUUCUCUCUGCUUGCUCCCAUUUUGUGCUUUUUUCCUCUCCAUCCCUAUUUUCUUCUUAUUUGCUUCUCUUCUUGUUUUCUCUCCAGUAAGCAUUUAAUGUAGCCAGCCAAAACUUGAGGUUUUGUUACACGUUUGUUUUUUUCAGAAUAUUAUUGAUAAAAAUAUGUCAGAUUUUGGGUUGACUAAUAACUCUUCAUUCAGGUUGUCUGCUUUUGAGGCAGGUCUGUGAGAAAGUCCUCGCCAGACAUAAACACCAUUUUCUGUCUUUACUCCUCAUUUUGCAUUGUUUCUUCCUUGUUUAGGAAAAAGCUUUCAGACUAACUUUUUUUCAGGACAGUUUUACUGUGUUCAGUAUUGCUUUCAAUGUGGUACAGCUUUUCCCUUUCAUAAAGGGAGUAAGGGGUGUAGGCAAAUUUUACUUCAGAUACAUUGUUCUUCCUUUCUUCCUCUGUGUAAAGAUUAAAACAUUUUCAACCAUAGCUGUGGCCAUAACCUACAUGAAAUGUUUCUGAAUGUGUUACUCAGACCUUGAUGUCCAGGUAACCCUGUAGUAUGGAGGAUUAGUGUCUUUGUGGCUGAGACUCCUUACUUGGUUGAAAUUACAGUUGAGUGUGGACAUUGUGUCUGAAUGUAUCACUUUGAAGCAAGCUCUCUUCUGAGAUGGUGAGGCCCUUAUCUACAUGAGAACUGCAACCAAAGGAGUUGCCUGGGCAGAUCUGAAGUUCGGUGAUAUGAACGUUUUGUAAAAAUUAUCUUUGAGGAAUGUGGCAAACAAAAUACUUAGAGUGUCACUAUAUGUUGGUCAGACUGUUUAGAAAUGUAUAGGCUGUCGGUUUCCCAACUAAAAAGUCCUAUGCCUCUUUCCUAUUUUUUGAAGUACCUUCUCAUGACUUUGCUCUAACUGUUCAUUAAUAACAUGGAAGUUGCAAGAUCUCUUAGCUGUGGUGGUUCUGUUCAUGCUUUGGGAUUAGUGGGAAACUUUCUUAUAGAGGUGUGUGUGGGAGGGGGAGGACUGACACUAGGCUUCCUAGGAGUUAUUGUCAAAUUGCCCUAAUUGUCUAAAUUGAUGUUGCUUAGUUUUUUGCUUGGGAUCUGACUUCUGUCCAGAAUUACACCUCACUGGGCACUUAUCUUCAAAACAUAGAUUAAAGGCAGUACCUUCUCCUGGCAAGCUUUGUUAGAGAAAUGCUGUGCUUCCAUUCUUCAAAACAUAGAUUAAAGGCAGUACCUUCUCCUGGCAAGCUUUGUUAGAGAAAUGCUGUGCUUCCAUUAAAACAUUCUGGAUUCAGAGUAACAUUCAUUUUCAUCUUUCUCACCUGUAAGACUGUCAUAAUGUUGAGUUUAUCCAUAGAAACUAGAUUUCCUCCCUGUUUGCCAUUUGUAGCUGUACAUCUUUCUUUUUGACUUUUUAUAUGGCUAGGAUGAUGAGCUUAAUCCCUUGAGCAUGAUCAGUAAAAUCACCUCAUUUCCUUUUUGUAGUCUGUGUUUUACUUUUUAAACUUAGAGGAAGAAAGUCCUUGCUUCCCCCCCCACCCCCCCAUUUUUUAGUGUACGGCAAGGAAUAAAAGUAGGUGGCUGAAAUCUCCCUGAUACUGUGGACUCUUGUACUUAAAAUUUAACUGGCUUGCUAUAGUACUGUUUCUUUUGCAUGGGAAGAAGUUGCAACACUGAAACUGAAAGCAUUUAAAGAGAGGGAUUUAGUCAUACAUGUAUAGUUGGGAAAUAAUACCUACUUGCUUGAGAAAUGGCCAUUAAUUUGGAGAUUUAUGUGUUUUUAUAGAUCAGGGUAAGAAGUCUUGUGUACUCAGUCUUUCUUGAUUUGGAGUUUACUUAUCCAAAUACAGUUGAAAGACUUCCAUCUUCACCCACGCUCCAUGUCUGUGGUUCAUAUUUAGCAGCACAGAGCAUACCCAUUACAGCAUGUUUUCAUUUGCUUUUCUACGUUUAUAUUUUUCUCCUUUUCCAGUACUGCAGGAAAACUUGCCAUGUUAUUUACCUUAAAAAUUACCGAUUGUGAAUUUCAUGAGGACCAGCUUACUUCUGGGAUAACCUUUAGUUGGUCUGCUGGCUUUGUUAAUUGGACAGUAACAGAAUAUAUGAUCAUCAGGCUGUGUUUUGGAGAGUCUAGCAUACCAAAUUCUGACACACAGAAUUCCACCUUUAAUGUUUAUUUAGCCAUAGCUGUCUGGACUUUUUUUUUGUAGGUAAGCAAGUGUAGAUUCUGUUGUCUGCGAUUUGUGAGGUUGUUAUGCAACAAGAGGACAUGAUAACUAAAAAUGAGAACAAAUUUUAAUUCUUGUUAGAUAUUUAUAAUGUCUUGAAGUGUGAAUUAAGGAAAAGAAAUAAUUUCAAUUCUGUUUAUAUAUGUAGAUGCACUAUGCAACUCUCCACUUCUUACACAGAAAUGGUCUUAUAUUUGUAGUGUUGUGUAUGACAGAAUUCUUCUUGAAAGUUGACAGAAUGCCUGAAAAAAGUGUCCUUGGAGAACUGGAGGGUAGUAACCAUUAGGGAAAAGAGCAGGUAGAAGCCUUUUUCCUGUGGGAUGUUUUUAAUUAAAAAAAAAAAGCAUAGCCUUUUGGCUGUUUUAUUUUAUUUUCUCACAAAACAAUUGAAAAAAUAAGUUAAAAUUUAAAAAGAACAGUAAUUGCAUAAAAAGUGCUUGGGAAAAUAGACCUAAUUAGGCAGUUAUCCUAGAAAAUUUCAUUUUGCAAGAAAGAGACUUGUAUGUGAUGUUUUGUUUACUUGUUUUGUUUUCAAACUAAUUUACUGAGUCCUAUUUUAUGCCUAACUUGUCAAGUGGAAAAAAAUUAGCAUAAACCCUUAAGAAUAAUCUUCUGUGUACAUUUUGCAAAAUCCUGCAAAACAGGGCUCUAUCCUGCUGUUACAAUGUGGGUGAAUGAUGUAAGGAAUAAAAUGCAUUGUCUGUUCCCUGUACUAUGAAAUAAGCAGCAAGAGUUCCACUGUCUUACUUCAAUGGUUAGGGAAUAGCUGUGUUUAACAAAACCUAUUUUUGAGCAGUAAAAUGUUUUUUGAUAUAUACCAUGACCUUCAAGAACUGACUCAACAUUAAUUUAGCUUUCUAUAUGUUACAUGGAACAGUAAUUUUAAUAAUUACAGAUGUAUUAUGGCAUUUCAUUAUGUAUUCAGCAUACAGAUUGUAUAAGUAGACCUAUAAAAUAAAUAUAUUAAGAAUUGCAUAUGCACUUCCAACUGCAACUAUAGAAAUACAUAUUUUUACUUUUUCCUUUUCUAAUUCAAUGAUAUCACUUACUAUGUAGUAAAGUGAGGAACAUGAAGAAGCAGAAUACACUUGGGCUUUGAACUAUAAAAUUUUUGUGUGAUUUUAGUACUUACUAUGUGGUUAUGAAAUUGUUAGUUUUCUUCAUUAUCCUGUAUAUUGUAGGGAAUUUAUGUGGAAUAUUCUUCCUUUAAAAAAAUCUUUCAUGCAUGGAUUUUGUUGGUUUUUCUGGCUAUUGUAUGUGACUUUUGAGAUCAAAAGUGGGAAAUAGAAAUUAAAGUAUAUGUUAAAUUAUA